ACUUCCGGUCCAGGGGUAUAUAGGUAUCUGGGGCAUUGCUAGACAUAGCAUGCAUCCUGGGAACACGCGGCAGAUCACAGCACACGGUUGGGCUGAGCCGCUGUCGUGAACUACCAUGACCUCAGGACACAUUACAUCUUGAGCAUGAUCACCAUAGUUACUUCAGGACCACCCACGAAGCUGGCAUGUCUCCGGCCGUGAACAUUGUUAUUUUGUUUUUAAGCUCCGUUAAGUGACCGCUGGUUCCUGUGUGAGUCUCCUGUGCAUUGUUUAAUGAUUGCACAUUUUGAAAUAUGAUAUCGUACUGCCUUUCUUGAAAAAGAUCCUGUGGAAGGAUCGAAACGUCGAUUUAUGAAGGCUGCAAUAAAGAACAUUGGAUAUUAAUCAAAGUUUGUGAAUAUAUAUAUGUGUGAGAGUGCGCCCGCCACCUUCGUGGACAUCU